CAUGUUGCUGAUGGCUCCAGUAUACCUAUGAACGAGCAGAUAGAGGCAUAUGUAUGCAGCCUCUAGCUUUCCCAAGUCCAACUCUUCGGCAUUAUUGAUCCAGGCUAUGGCAUGGAGCUGAGGCGCAAUCUCACUGAUGGAGCGUGCGCCGAUCCAGUGGUCUUCCCAAAACAACGCGGUCUGGACAUUACCCACUGUCAUCAAAGUGGAAGGGAUGAAGAGGGCAUGUUCCUCUACCGAGAAUUGGAGUUCAAGGAUGCUCCAGGCUCGGUCGGUUCAUGCCGCUGCGGCUGUACAAGAGCCAACGAAGGCGGAAGGCAGGGCCGGCCUCUCUCUUCCUAAGGCUGCUCUGCCUGUCUUAAUCUAGGUUUCUCUGCCAUAUGGAGGUAAUUGGCGAGUCGAGCCUUCUUAGGCCAGUGGUGGCUGGACGUGAUGCCGGAGCUGUCCCAUUUCGUGGCGCUCGCAUAGGGAAAGAGGAGGCGGCCUUUAUGUAGUGGCAGUGGAGAAGCAGAGGUGGCCACGAGGGAGCCUUGGCUGCGGGAAAGUAUAAAACUUGUUUUGGAUAUGGAAAUGGAUAGUGCUUCUCUGAUCUUACCGAAGCUCCAAUGUUCUGCUAAAAAGGAGGGAUGUUACGCUAGCAAAAACAUAUGCUGCAUUAUGUAAGGAAUCUGUGGGGAGAAGCUGCUAACACAUUUAGAGAAGGAUGUUGUCCAGCUGCUCUUAGAAGUUAGUAGAGAGUACACUGCAACUUAGGUGAUGUUGGGUCCAUAACAUUCCGCUCUUAUCUCGAAGACCACAAGGUUCAUGCUGCCAAGCUUCAUGAACUAACCAACCGCACCAACAGUUUGAACUGAUGGAAAGAGCUAGUGCAAUCCACUCAUACAUUUCAACACAUGCAAUGGGUUGUACCUCCUUACAAGUGACCGCCAACACCUAACUUUGCACGACCGUCUUGUAGUUCCCACGAUGUUAGCUAGGCAAGUUUGGACAGUUUAAAUGAAGUUGUUUUCUUGGAAUAGUUUAAGCUUCCCACAAGCAUUUGUGUUCUUUUGAUUGAUAAAACAGAAGAACAUGUAUACAUUUUCCUGUGGAUCGGAGUAUCUUUGUUGUUGCGGUCAAGUCCUUUUUCAUUUAUUUAGAAACUGAUAUACUUGCUCUUGUACGUGUAGGUAUGCAUGACUAGCAAAAUCAGAAGAUAACUGAAGAAUAAUGGAUGGUUUUGGGCUGCAUGUCAUCGUGAAGCCAUAACCAGAAAUAACAAUCAGAAGGUCAUGACUAGAGGAGAGGGCAAUUUGGAGGAGAACAUCCAUGAGCCAAAGGUGGCCAGUCUUGCACGAUAUGCUUGCACAUCACAUCUAGGUAAUUGGCGAGCUGAGCCUUCUUUCACCACUGGUAGCUGGACGUGAUGCCGGAGCUAUCAGAUGUCAUGACGCUCCAGAAGGGGAGAAGUGGAGUCGGCCUUUAUGCAUCGACAAUGGAGGAGCAGAGGUGGCUAGGAGGAAGCCUUGGCUGCGGAAAGUAUAAUGCUUAUUUUGGACCUGAGAUUGGAUAGUGACUCUCUGAUCUGGGCAUGUUGCCUGUGUUAAGUAGCUAAUAUAUAUAUUGGCAUAAUCUAGCUUGGCUAGUGCUUGGGUUAGUUUGGUUCCUGCGGCUGCUAGCAAGUCCGUAUCAUUGCAAUGCAACUUUUUCAGUUUUGCUCUGGUCUAAUACUAUGCAUUCUCCUUUUAAUGAUUUUGCCAUAACAAACUGUGUAUCUACCGAUUAUGAUAUAAUCUCUCUGUGGAUAUGUCUUUUUGAUGUGUGGCCUAUA